rnacentral:rRNA from 1 species
CCUACGGGAGGCUGCAGUGGGGGAUAUUGCACAAUGGGGGGAACCCUGAUGCAGCGACGCCGCGUGGGUGAAGGAGUGCUUCGGCAUGUAAAGCCCUAUCGGCAGGGAAGAAGCAAGACGGUACCUGACUAAGAAGCCCCGGCUAACUACGUGCCAGCAGCCGCGGUGAUACGUAGGGGGCGAGCGUUAUCCGGAUUCACUGGGUGUAAAGGGAGCGUAGACGGCCAUGCAAGCCAGGGGGGAAAGCCCGGGGCCCAACCCCGGGACUGCCGUUGAAACUGCGUGGCUUGAGUGCGGGAGGGGCAGGCGGAAUGCCUGGUGUAGCGGUGAAAUGCGUAGAGAUCAGGAGGAACACCGGCGGCGAAGGCGGCCUGCUGGACCGUGACUGACGUUGAGGCUCGAAAGCGUGGGGAGCGAACAGGAUUAGAUACCCUUGUAGUC